rnacentral:rRNA from 1 species
GAUGAACGCUAGCGGCAGGCUUAACACAUGCAAGUCGAGGGGCAGCGGGGUCUUCGGACCGCCGGCGACCGGCGCACGGGUGCGUAACGCGUAUGCAACCUACCUUUCACAGGGGGAUAAUCCGGAGAAAUCUGGUCUAAUACCCCAUAACACAUUUUACGGCAUCGUAGAUUGUUGAAAUUUUCGGAGGUGAAAGAUGGGCAUGCGUGACAUUAGCUAGAUGGUGAGGUAACGGCUCACCAUGGCAACGAUGUCUAGGGGGACUGAGAGGUUAACCCCCCACACUGGUACUGAGACACGGACCAGACUCCUACGGGAGGCAGCAGUGAGGAAUAUUGGUCAAUGGACGGAAGUCUGAACCAGCCAUGCCGCGUGCAGGAUGACGGCUCUAUGAGUUGUAAACUGCUUUUGUAUAGGGGUAAAAGUAGAUACGUGUAUCUAUCUGAAAGUACUAUACGAAUAAGGAUCGGCUAACUCCGUGCCAGCAGCCGCGGUAAAAC